GGAGGAAGAAAUAUUUUGCACAGAUGGUUGAGGCUGAAGGUGACAAGGCAGUGAGCCGGCGAAAGGAGUUCAAUGAUGUUGAUCAAGCGAAUGAUCUAUCUAUUAUAGUUGGGAUCGGACGCGAACUAAUUAUGUUGUUUAAGUGCAUUUUAGUUUUGGUUUUUAGUGCUAGUUGCGAUUGUAUUUGUUGUAGCCAAGCUUGCUCGAAUUAAUCAACUAUGUGUGUGUGUGUGU
rnacentral:lncRNA from 1 species